GACGAACGCUGGCGGCGUGCUUAACACAUGCAAGUCGAACGGAAAGGCCCUGCUUUUGUGGGGUGCUCGAGUGGCGAACGGGUGAGUAAAACGUGAGUAACCUGCCCUUGACUUCGGGAUAACUUCAGGAAACUGGGGCUAAUACCGGAUAGGAGCUCCUGCUGCAUGGUGGGGGUUGGAAAGUUUCGGCGGUUGGGGAUGGACUCGCGGCUUAUCAGCUUGUUGGUGGGGUAGUGGCUUACCAAGGCUUUGACGGGUAGCCGGCCUGAGAGGGUGACCGGCCACAUUGGGACUGAGAUACGGCCCAGACUCCUACGGUAGGCAGCAGUGGGGAAUAUUGCACAAUGGGCGGAAGCCUGAUGCAGCAACGCCGCGUGCGGGAUGACGGCCUUCGGGUUGUAAACCGCUUUCGCCUGUGACGAAGCGUGAGUGACGGUAAUGGAUAAGGAAGCACCGGCUAACUACGUG
rnacentral:rRNA from 1 species